rnacentral:rRNA from 1 species
UUUAUUGGAGAGUUUGAUCCUGGCUCAGGAUGAACGCUGGCGGCGUGCCUAAUACAUGCAAGUCGAGCGAAUGGAUUAAGAGCUUGCUCUUAUGAAGUUAGCGGCGGACGGGUGAGUAACACGUGGGUAACCUGCCCAUAAGACUGGGAUAACUCCGGGAAACCGGGGCUAAUACCGGAUAACAUUUUGAACCGCAUGGUUCGAAAUUGAAAGGCGGCUUCGGCUGUCACUUAUGGAUGGACCCGCGUCGCAUUAGCUAGUUGGUGAGGUAACGGCUCACCAAGGCAACGAUGCGUAGCCGACCUGAGAGGGUGAUCGGCCACACUGGGACUGAGAC